GUUUCAUCUCAUUUCCAGAUGCCGACCUACAAUAGAUCAUUGUGUUAAAGUUACAGCCGGUGGUUCCUGGUCUCCUGGCUGAGGAUGUCCCCAAUAACACCCCUCCACCUCCCCUGGAUGUCGAGGGAAGUCCCGCCUAUGCCGUCAGAUCCCUACUGGACUCCCGACGUUGUGGGGGUUGGCUUCAGUACCUGGUGGACUGGGAGGGGUACGGUCCAGAGGAGCGGUUUUGGGUUCCGGUGGAGGACGUUCUGGAUCCCAACAUCAUCCAUGAUUUCCACCUUCUCCGUCCGGACCGGACACUCCCUCCCCGGCUGUGGCUGGACAUGAAACACAUAACCUAUUCUGCCUGGUUAAUGGAAAUAAGGGAGUGACAGAUAUAAGGGAG
rnacentral:lncRNA from 1 species